rnacentral:tRNA from 1 species
ACUUGAAUAGUUUAAGAAAAAUUUUGAUUUGUGGUGUCAAGGUUAUGAAUUUUUAUUUCAUUUCAGGUC